CAGCAGCCGCGGUAAUACGUAGGUGGCAAGCGUUGUCCGGAAUUAUUGGGCGUAAAGGGCUCGCAGGCGGUUUCUUAAGUCUGAUGUGAAAGCCCCCGGCUCAACCGGGGAGGGUCAUUGGAAACUGGGAAACUUGAGUGCAGAAGAGGAGAGUGGAAUUCCACGUGUAGCGGUGAAAUGCGUAGAGAUGUGGAGGAACACCAGUGGCGAAGGCGACUCUCUGGUCUGUAACUGACGCUGAGGAGCGAAAGCGUGGGGAGCGAACAGGAUUAGAUACCCGCGUAGUCCCUGUCUCUUAUAC
rnacentral:rRNA from 1 species